UACGAAGGGGGCUAGCGUUGUUCGGAAUUACUGGGCGUAAAGCGCACGUAGGCGGACUAUUAAGUCAGGGGUGAAAUCCCGGGGCUCAACCCCGGAACUGCCUUUGAUACUGGUAGUCUCGAGUCCGGAAGAGGUGAGUGGAAUUCCGAGUGUAGAGGUGAAAUUCGUAGAUAUUCGGAGGAACACCAGUGGCGAAGGCGGCUCACUGGUCCGGUACUGACGCUGAGGUGCGAAAGCGUGGGGAGCAAACGGG
rnacentral:rRNA from 1 species